GGGAAGUUGGGGGCAGGAGCCGGGGGAAUAGGAAGGGAGGGUGGGGUGUUCGGAAUCACGGGGCUUAAAGCGUGCGUAGGUGUAUUGGUAAGUAAGGAGUGAAAUCCCAGGGCUUAACCCUGGAACUGCUCUGUAGACUGCCUGUCUGGAAUUCGGAAGAGGUUGGUGGAACUCCCAGUGUAGAGGUGAAAUUCGCAGAUAUUGGGAAGAACACCGGUGGCGAAGGCGACCAACUGGUCCGACAUUGACACUGAGGCACGAAAGCGUGGGUAGCAAACAGGAUUAGAUACCCGGGUAGUC
rnacentral:rRNA from 1 species